AUUUGACCUCAAAUCAGGUAAGAAUACCCGCUGAACUUAAGCAUAUCAAUAAGCGGAGGAAAAGAAAAUAACAAUGAUUCCCCUAGUAACUGCGAGUGAAGAGGGACAAGCUCAAAUUUUAAAUCCGUCGGGUUACACCUGACCGAGUUGUAAUUUGAAGAGGCGUUUUCCGCGUUUUUGAUCAGUCCAAGUCCUUUGGGAUAGGGCAUCAUGGAGGGUGAGAAUCCCGUUCGGCUGAUCAGAUUCGCUUUACGAUACGUCAUCUAAGAGUCAAGUUGUUUGGGAAUGCAGCUUAAAAUGGGAGGUAAAUUUCUCCUAAGGCUAAAUAACGGCGAGAGACCGAUAGCGAACAAGUACCGUGAGGGAAAGAUGAAAAGAACUUUGAAAAGAGAGUUAAACAGUACGUGAAAUUGUUGAAAGGGAAACGAUUGAAGCCAGUCGUACCGGUGGGUAAUCAGCCUUUCGGCGUGAUUAUGUGGAGCGUGAGGAGUCAAACGCCCUCAUGCCUGCAUAUUCGUGUUCUUUGGGUGUACUUACCCGCAUGGUAGGUUAACAUCAAUUUCGAACGUCAUAAAAUGGUUGGAGGAAUGUAGCUUCGAUCUCGUAUUGAAGUGUUAUAGCCUUCGGCAGAUGUGAUGAUCGGGAUUGAGGAUUGCAACGGAUACCCCUCGGGCUACCCGUCUGAUCUCUGAAAGUUACUCUGGUGCCGAAAGCUCGCUUACGGUCAUCAAAGUUGACGUUCAACAGGUUAGAACGGGAUAAAUUCGUUAAGGAUGUUGACGUAAUGGCUUUAAACGACCCGUCUUGAAACACGGACCA
rnacentral:rRNA from 1 species